CCGAGUCUUAACCGGGCGUUAAGUUGCAGGGUAUAGACCCGAAACCCGGUGAUCUAGCCAUGGGCAGGUUGAAGGUUGGGUAACACUAACUGGAGGACCGAACCGACUAAUGUUGAAAAAUUAGCGGAUGACCUGUGGCUGGGGGUGAAAGGCCAAUCAAACCGGGAGAUAGCUGGUUCUCCCCGAAAGCUAUUUAGGUAGCGCCUCGUGAACUCAUCUCCGGGGGUAGAGCACUGUUUCGGCUAGGGGGCCAUCCCGGCUUACCAACCCGAUGCAAACUGCGAAUACCGGAGAAUGUUAUCACGGGAGACACACGGCGGGUGCUAACGUCCGUCGUGAAGAGGGAAACAACCCAGACCGCCAGCUAAGGUCCCAAAGUCAUGGUUAAGUGGGAAACGAUGUGGGAAGGCCCAGACAGCCAGGAUGUUGGCUUAGAAGCAGCCAUCAUUUAAAGAAAGCGUAAUAGCUCACUGGUCGAGUCGGCCUGCGCGGAAGAUGUAACGGGGCUAAACCAUGCACCGAAGCUGCGGCAGCGACACUCAGGUGUUGUUGGGUAGGGGAGCGUUCUGUAAGCCUGUGAAGGUGUGUCGUGAGGCAUGCUGGAGGUAUCAGAAGUGCGAAUGCUGACAUAAGUAACGAUAAAGCGGGUGAAAAGCCCGCUCGCCGGAAGACCAAGGGUUCCUGUCCAACGUUAAUCGGGGCAGGGUGAGUCGACCCCUAAGGCGAGGCCGAAAGGCGUAGUCGAUGGGAAACGGGUUAAUAUUCCCGUACUUGGUGUUACUGCGAAGGGGGGACGGAGAAGGCUAUGUUGGCCGGGCGACGGUUGUCCCGGUUUAAGCGGGUAGGUGUGUGUUCCAGGUAAAUCCGGUCCACUUUAACACUGAGGCGUGAUGACGAGGCACUACGGUGCUGAAGCAACAAAUGCCCUGCUUCCAGGAAAAGCCUCUAAGCAUCAGGUAACAUCAAAUCGUACCCCAAACCGACACAGGUGGUCAGGUAGAGAAUACCAAGGCGCUUGAGAGAACUCGGGUGAAGGAACUAGGCAAAAUGGUGCCGUAACUUCGGGAGAAGGCACGCUGACACGUAGGUGAAGUGAUUUACUCA
rnacentral:rRNA from 1 species